rnacentral:rRNA from 1 species
GACAGAGGAGCCAAGCGUUGUCCGGACUGACUGGGCGUAAAGCGCACGCAGGCGGUGCGGCAAGUGCGGGGUGAAAGCGGCCGGCUCAACCGGCCGAGGCCCGGCAGACUGCCGCGCUGGAGCCAUGCAGAGGGUGGUGGAAUUGCCGGUGUAGUGGUGAAAUGCGUAGAGAUCGGCAGGAACACCGAGGGGGAAGCCAGCCACCUGGGCAUGCGCUGACGCUGAGGUGCGACAGCGUGGGCAGCGAACUGG